UACGUAGGGGGCAAGCGUUGUCCGGAUUUAUUGGGCGUAAAGAGCUCGUAGGUGGUUCGCCAAGUCGGAUGUGAAAUCUCCAGGCUCAACCUGGAGCGGCCAUUCGAUACUGGCGUGACUCGAGUCCGGUAGGGGACCACGGAAUACCUGGUGUAGCGGUGAAAUGCGCAGAUAUCAGGUGGAACACCGAUGGCGAAGGCAGUGGUCUGGGCCGGUACUGACGCUGAGGAGCGAAAGCGUGGGUAGCAAACAGG
rnacentral:misc_RNA from 1 species